CAAAAAUUUGUGACGUGUUUGUCUAGGAAUUUGUCGGAUUUUUUGACUUUUCAAGUCGGUGGUUUUCCUAUUUCUGCACUUAUUUGACUCUAAUGUUACAAGCAAUUUGCAUAUUAUCUGCCCUAGAACCAUUGAGGAUUUAAUUUAUUAAGGAACAUUUGUCACAACGAAUAUUCAACUCCAUCUCAUGUCACUUUCAGAUAGUCGAUGAAUGAGAAACCGUCAAAAGCGCACUACCGCAGUCUCCGAACUCUCCGCUGAAAUCAUGUAGCUAAUCAAGUGUCAAUUGGCAGGUGUAUUGUAUACGCCAUUUAGAGUUAGGAGGAGCUGUGAAAACUUUGUCUAAGUUUCAGCUCAUGCUCGCACCUUGACGUCACUGACUUGUUUCCUUCUCUCUGGAAGUUUGUUUCGGUACAUUUAAGCUUUUGAAGAAGUGAAACGCUCGAUUUGAUUUCCCCGACCACCGAAGCAACAGAGUUAUUUCUCUCUUUUUGGAUGGACCCUCUUUAGUGUCUCCUUGUCUCAUUUUGCCUCGAAUUUUCACCUCAUACCUUGUGAGUAUCCAUUUCAGUAGUCUUCUUUUCCGCAUAUUGCAGAAUUAAUUCUGAGGCGGAUCCAACAAUUUGGCAACAUCGGAUUUCCUCCAUUUAAACCUAUGCUAAAUAAUCGAUUCUUGUCAGAGCACCUGGUCCCUCCAAGAAUCGAUACAUUUCUAUAGGUUUGAACGGAGGAAAGACAAUGUUGCCAAUUUUUUGGAUCCG
rnacentral:lncRNA from 1 species